CAUCUAGGCGGGGGUUUCAAGUCGACGGUGAAAACUAGUGGCUCAACCAUUAGCUUGCCGACGAAACUGAAAUUCUAGAGUAUUGGAAAGGUGGGCGGAACUACAUGAGUAGAGGUGAAAUUCGUAGAUAUAUGUAGGAAUGCCGAUGACGAAGGUAGCUCACUGGACAAAAACUAGACGCUGAAGUGCGAAAGCUAAGGGGGAGCAAACA
rnacentral:rRNA from 1 species